GUGCAGCUGUGACCCGUCCCUGUGGACUGAAGAUUUGUAGUUUUUUGACAGGGGAAAGGAGGAGUGUUUCCUUGUUCUGCUUUUCCAGAAUCCUGCCCUUUCCAAAAGGAAGACGGUAUGAUUAAGUUCCAGGAAAGGGUGACAUUCAAGGACAUAGCUGUUAUCUUCACCAAGGAAGAGCUGGCAGUAUUGGAUAAAGCCCAGAUAAACCUGUACCAAGACGUGAUGCUGGAAAACUUCAGGAACUUCAUCUCAGUGGGGUCUUGCUCUGUCACCCAGGUGGCUGGAGUACAGUGGCCUGAUCAUGGCUCGCUGCUGAAGCCUUGAACUGCUGGGCUCAAGUGAUCCUCCUGCCUCAGCCUCCUGAGUAGUUGGGACUACAGGCAUAUACCACCACUUUCAGCUAAUGUUUUCUUUUAAAAAUUUACUUGUAGAGAUGGGGUCUUGCUUUGUUGCCCAGGUUAGUCUUAUUCUGGUUUCAAGCAAUCCUCCUACCUCAGCUUCCCAAAGUGCAGGGAUUACAAGUGUGGGCCACUGCACUCAGCCCACAAUGUCUUUUAUUUUUUCUUCAAAAACAAUGUCCUUUUCUGUUUUAAUUGACUUAUAAGUUUCUUCAUUUGGAUCAUGGUUUAUUCCUAGUUUUUCUUGCAUUAUAUUUUCCUGCCAGUUAUAGUUUGUAAACAGAACAGCCAUUCAAGUGCAAAUAAAACCAUCCCUGAAGUGUCAUUUUCUUACUGAGCAGGUGGAUAAGAGUGAAAUAUUUUAAAAAUUCUGUGUCAGUAGAAAUGAGGAAAUGAGUGUUCUUACAUAAGUUGGUGGGGAAAAAAAACAGGUACAAAGUUGCUGGAGAGGAUCUUGUCUAUAUGUAUCAGAUGUACAAUGUGCAUUGUCUUUGAGCCAAUGAUCCUGCUUCUCAGAAUGUAUUUUUAGGAUGUAAUUACAUGAGUGGAAAAAAAUGGUUUCAGAAAGAAAUAUGUUCUAAGAAUUUUGCAAUGAGAAGAUCGUAAAUGACCUGAAGCUUCAUGUAUAAGAGAUUAAGUAAAUUAGGGCAUCCCAUAUAAUGGAAUAACAUGGCUCCAUCAACAAUGAUCUAGACCUAUAAAAAUGUCCACAUAUUAUUGUCCAUGUCCACCACAUACUCCAGUCCUCCUACUUGCAAACAGUAGGUUAGAGAAAAAAUCUGGGAUACACAUUAUCCCAGGAAGCUUUUGGGGUUUAGAAUGGGUGCAACAUUCCCUCAUGACAGAAUCGGCCCUCAGCCUUAGUGGAGGUGUCCCAGGCAAUCCUCCAGUAUGGCCAGGAGCAGCCCUUGCAUAUCACAUUAAGCUUUUUAAAUAUAUGAUGCUAACAGGAUUGUCUCCCUACUUCAUAAAAUUGUUUGCUUUUCCUCUUGUAACAAAGUAGCAUGGAAAAAGCAGAAAUUAGUCUAGCUCCCAAUCAGUGGGAGCCAACUCAUUUACAAAUAUAGAUGCAGAGAUCCUAAAUAAAUAUGAGCAUGUCAAAUCCAAUGAUUUGAUAAAAGCGUAACAGACUCUGCUCAUAUAUAAUUUAUCCUAAAUAUGCUUAUCAGCUUCUGCCUCAUAACACACACAAGAACUGAGUAGCUCUAAAUACAAAUUUAUUUAGCUCAUGAUGUGUGAGCUGGCAAGUUCAGUUGGGCUUAGCUGGGCAGUUCUGGUGUGGGACAUGCUAGAUUAUCUUAACUGGGCUUUGUACAUGCAUCUGCAUUCAGCUGAUGGCUCAUCUGGGCCUGGCUGUUUUAUGAUGGUCAUAGAUGAGACAACGAAGUUCUCUCUGUCACCAUGGUCUCUCAUCGUCCAGAAGACCAAUCUAGGGUUGGUCCCAUAGUGCCAGGGUUUCAAGAGCAAAAGCUGUGAUCUCUUAAGGCCUUGUCAGAGAACAGGCUCAAUGAUACUUCCACCACAUUCUAAUGAUUAAAGCAAGUCACAACACUGGCCCAGAUUCAUGCGGUGGGAUUAAGACAAGAUAAAAAAUUUUGAGAUGUAAUCAUUGGAAGGAAAAAGAAGGUACUAUUUUUAUGUUAGAGAAUAAUGUUAUUUACUUAUAAAAUUCAAAUCCGCCUGUAAAAUUUGACCAAUUGAAGUCUGUUUUAAAAUUAUCACGUCAAAAAAUUGGUUUCAUACAAAAUUGGCACAUGAAAACUCAUAGCAUUACUAUGUACGAGUCUUUUAUAAAAUGUAGCCAAAGUGUUUCAUUCACAAUAACAAUUGUGUGCAAAGACCAGAAUUGUCCAAAGGUAAUUCUGGGAGUUCCCUUUGGGAUGCCUAGGUGGGGAGCUAUCUGGAGCCUCAGACUCCCACAUUCUUCAGUGGGAAAAGCUUUACAUGAGCUCAACUUCCCAGCGGCUUUCUCUUUCUGAUGGGAGGUGUUAGAACCUGGCUUUCUCAUGCAACUUCUGUGAAGCUCUGACAACUAAAGCCAGAUUGUCUGCUUUAGUCAAUCUGUUAGAUCAAUUAGUCAUUUGAUCUGACAACUAAAGCCAGAUUGUCUGCUUUAGUUAAGUAGUCCAGAUUACCUGCAUAGUCAAUUUGUUCCCUCACCAACAUGGAUGCCUUCACAAUUGCUCUUUAAGAAGGAUAAAAAGAUAGGGGUGAGGUGUGGUCUAUCUCCUGCUUCACCCAGGCCCUGGUGCUUCUUCAAGUAGCGUGAGAAAUUGUGGUCCUGUGCGUUCUCUUCCAGACCCUUAGCUUAUAUGUUUUCCCUAUAAAACUUAGUCCUAAUCCCAGCACUUUGGGAGGCCGAGGAGGGUGAAUCAUGAGAUCAGGAGUUUGAGAACAGCCUGGCCAACAUAGUGAAACUCCGUCUCUACUAAAAAUACAAAAAAUUAGCUGGGCAUAGUGGCAGGCACCUGUAAUCCCAGCUACUCAGGAGGCUGAGGCUUGAGCCCA
ensembl:lncRNA novel transcript